rnacentral:lncRNA from 1 species
CACUAUUGUCCUGUAUAUUUUAUAAAAAAAAACCUCUACCACUAACAUCCACUUCUACGCUUGAAGGCGAGAGACAUUAAAUCUAGAAUAGAUGGACAUGAUUUAAUAUAUGCACCAAAGUGCCAUGUACACCGGACCCAAGAAGAAUAGGAUGAACAAUGUUUGCGACAAGUCUAAUACCUACAAGAGAUACAAAGAAUAAGAGGAACAAUGUUUUAAUGCUACAGAUCUGUAAUACUUAACUAGAAAAGCGCUCAUAAGGAUCGAAAGACCCAAGGGAUUGUUCUAAAUUGGGCUUCUAAUAUUGACUUAAUUAAAAACUACUUCACGCCGACUAGGCUUGGCGUUCCAGUGUGGGUGGGUGUCAAACCAAGGCUGGCAUAUUUUUUUUGCCAUGAAGGCUAGAUGAGAGCAUUCGGCAAUUGCAGCCACCGGGCAGGAAUGAGUGAGAUCUAGGAGCGAUGUAGAGAUAUUUAAUUUGCCAAGUUCCAUUUCUCCACGAGAACCAACUGCACGGAAAUGGAAGCAUGCAUUUUGGUCUUGGCUUUCUGGCUGGGACAGGCAGCAUCAUGUAUUCAUGUAUUCCCACGGUCCUUGAAUUCAGGUCAACUCCUGAGCCUAUCCCUCUGGCGAGUGUUUCUAGUGAACAUUGAUAGACAACAAAUCAGUAUUAACAAAGAUGGUAAAACUGAAGCAGUGUAGUAAACAACAUAAAAGUACUACUGUCUAGAAUCGUAAAUGGUUAGAUUUGAAAGACGCCCGAUAACAUUUUAGAUAAAGAUGCUGGUUAAUUAGCUUUUCCCGGUUACAUAUCGGUAGGGCUUUUUAUGUGCAAACGACGCCUAAGAUGUACUCAUGCAGUUGAUACAAUUAAGUCUCUGCAUCAGGUUCAGCAUGUCACUCAAUGUGUCACUACUUUUCGCAGAACAACAUACACACAUAAGAGUAUUUUUCGAAGGUCUUAGAUGUAUCUACCUUGAAUCUCGAAACCAAGGUGGUUGCAUUGGAAACAAGGGUGUUUGGUUUGAGGAACAACCCGUUCAUCCCACAAAUUUUGUUCCUCAUGUUUGUACUCAUGAUUAUUACCUUGUGAGAGAUGAGAUAGCAGAGAAUCAACCCAUUCUAUUCCAAAACAAGGGUGGUGAUCUAGUAAGGAUGGCCGAAGGUGGGCAAACAGCAGCGGGGCGGCUCAGCCGGGGCAGAGGUUACUCCAGUGAGCAAUUCCGCACAGGAAAAGGAUGAAUCCGUGACUGAUUAAGGCAAGGAGGGUUGUGCGAGGCUCGACGAGUUCAGGGGUCUAGGCACGUGCUAUGGCUGAAGAGCUAGUGACAGUGUGCCACGUUGAGGCGGAGCGGGCGCGCGGAGUUCAACUCCGAAGAGUGAUUUGACUACGGCAGGCACGAAAACAUAGGGAUGGUUUCAUACGGUGUCGGUGAGGCAAAGCUCGGAGUUCACUCCUCGUCCUCGACAACGGGGCGCGACUGCAACUUCGACAUGGCGACGACGAAUCUCAGCGGGCCUGUCAUGGUGGCAAUUACAGGUGACUGGACUCGAGGGAAUGGAGUAAGAACCAGGGCACGUCCUAAGUACACCAAGCCUGGGCGGAACUCACCGGCGCAAGAGGGACGAUGGGAGCACAACGACGGCGAUGGACGGACGUCGUCGGCUUGACAAGGGCGCUCCGGGGUGUGCGAGAGCAGGGAGAUGGCUGAGCAACUGCACGAAUGGGGAGCGGGAUGCGCACGGGGCUCCGGGUCUUCCUACUUGAAGGACGGAUG